UACGUAGGGGGCGAGCGUUGUCCGGAGUUACUGGGCGUAAAGCGCUUGUAGGCGGUCCACCAAGUUUGGGGUGACAGUUGCCGACUUAAUCGGCAAAGUGCCUCAAAGACUGGCGGACUUGAGGGCCACAGAGGGACAUGGAACUCCAGGUGUAGUGGUGAAAUGCGUAGAGAGCGGGAGGAACACCAGUGGCGAAGGCGCCGUGCUGGGCGGGCCCUGACGCUGAGGCGCGAAAGCUAGGGGAGCGAACGGA
rnacentral:rRNA from 1 species